UACGUAGGGUGCAAGCCUUGUCCGGAUUUAUUGGGCGUAAAGAGCUCGUAGGCGGCUUGUCACGUCGGGUGUGAAAACUCGGGGCUCAACCCCGAGCCUGCACUCGAUACGGGCUAGCUAGAGUGUUGCAGGGGAGACUGGAAUUCCUGGUGUAGCGGUGAAAUGCGCAGAUAUCAGGAGGAACACCGGUGGCGAAGGCGGGUCUCUGGGCAACUACUGACGCUGAGGAGCGAAAGCGUGGGGAGCGAACAGG
rnacentral:rRNA from 1 species